rnacentral:misc_RNA from 1 species
GAUGAAGAACGCAGCGAAAUGCGAUACGUAAUGUGAAUUGCAGAAUUCAGUGAAUCAUCGAAUGUUUGAACGCAUAUUGCACUCUCUGGCAUUCCGGGGAGUAUGCCUGUUUCAGUAUCAGAAAAUAACCUCAGAAUCAAGUUUGAUUCUGGAUCUGGGCUUUUGCGGGGGAUUCCUCGCUGGUCUGAAAUUUGUUUGCGAAAAGAUUUGCUGGUGCCCAAAAAGGCGUCAUAGUUGGCUACGGUCAUCUUUCGCUGACUUUUGGUGCUAGACAGACAGACUCCGCACCAUUGUCUACCUGGACAUGGAAAAAAAAAGCUUUCCUUUGGGGAAAAAGUUCACUUGAUCUGAAAUCAGGCAAGAUUACCCGCUGAACUUAAGCAUAUCAAUAAGCGGAGGA